UAUGAAAGGAGAUGUCCUGGGAUACAGCUUGUUCAUUUUCAUGAAACUGUGGAAAGAAUAUAAUCUUUGCUGGAACCUGAACUGAGAUUCAAAAUCCUGCCACUUUACUAACAAUGUGACUUCAGGAAAUUUAUUUAAUCCCUGCUGAAAUACCAACAGAGAAUCAUAUCAACCUUGUAAAAAGCUAUUGGACCAAGCUCUUCUGCCACGAAAAACAAAGAAGAUGAUUAAUUUUAUUUGCUUUACUGUUUGCAUUUCCCUAAGACACAAUGAACUGAUUAAAAUACUUUUGUACUCAUUCAUUAGGCUUUUUUGUAUAUUAAGGUGCAUUAUUUUGACAUACUUACCACAUAAUUAUAUUUGUGUAAUGAUUUCACAUUCAUAGUCAUGCGUGUGUUAUUUUCUUCUCACAACAAAGCAUACCAGAGGAAAAGUUAUAACUCCCAUUUUUACAGAG
rnacentral:lncRNA from 1 species